CUUCAACGUGUGGAGGAUCAAAGGCAAUCCAUCCAUUUGAAGGAGCAAAAUGAUGUUUUCAGUUGUCGCAGCAUCACUUGAGCAUUCCAAGACAAGGGCAAAACUCUGGCUUUUGUCUUGCCCAUUUUGGAAUCUCUGACGAAUGGGCCUGCAAAAACCUCAAGGAAGACAGGAUGUGGUAGGCCACCAAGUGUUUUGGAGCUUUUACCUACUAGGGAAUUGGCCAAGCAGGUGUUUCCUGAUUUUGAAGUUUAUGGUGGAGGAGUGGGCUUAACAUCUUGUUGUUUGUAUGGUGGAGCUCCUUAUCAUGCUCAGGAAAACCGAUUGAGGAGACAGGUUGAUAUAGUGAUUGGAAAACCUGGCCGUGUGAAAGUAAUUCAUUGAAUUGGAAGCUUAUUUGGUUUUCUUUCACCCGCUGGGAAUAAUGCAUGUUCACAGUUGUUACAUCUUGUGGCAGGAUCACAUUGAGAGGGAAAAUAUUGACUUGAGCUCUUUAACCUUCCGUGUCCUUGAUGAGGCGGAUGAAAUGCUAAGGAUGGAUUUUUUUGAAGAUGUGGAGCCAAUUCUUGGCGUGUGUGUACUAAUUUUUUUCACUAUGGAGUUGGUGGAAAUAUGCUUUACUUAUCUAUUGCAAUUACAAUUAUUGUUAGUGAUGUUAUAUUUUGAAAUUUGACAAUAGGUCUUUCAGUUUCAGCAUCAUGCAGCUGCUUAGAACUUUUUAAAAAAGAGAUUUUUGAAUUUUUUUUUAAGAGCAAGAUCUUUAUUUUCUUUUUGCCUUUUAAAUGCUCUACUAUAUGUAACAUAUCUCUUAUUGUGCAUACAUUAAGAGGGGCUCAAACCAAUAUUGCCAUUCCUCUGCUUGAGGCUUGCUUGAGGCUUGUCUGAGUAGGUUUACGUAAGGCAUUAUCUAGGCUACAGUUUGAAAAUCGAUAAUAACAUGAGAUAUUUGGAGAAUUUUUGUCUCACUUAUGUGAUUUUUUUUUAUCUAACCACAUUGCUGAUAGAUGUGGAUAUACUUAUCCUUCAAUUCUUCUGGUUCUUGUAGGCAAGGUGAAGGAUACAGGUAAAGUUCAGACGCUGCUCUUUAGCUUUACUUUACCAGAAUAGGUGAAAGGUGUAUGUAACUUAAUCUGGCAAAAUUGUUUUGUUGUUUUGAAUUUGUAUCUUGGUUGUCAAUGUUUGGAGAAUCAGAGUGUCGCGAUUGGAGAAUCACAGGAAAGCAGGGUUGUCAUGACAGAAAUAGAAGGUUUUGUUUCAGGCCUUGAGGUUGAUGAAGGUAUACAUUCAAUUAAUUCUGUGUUGGCCUGGACAAUUUGCGAUCAUAUUUUCUUUCUGAACUGUGGAACCCUUAUUUUGUUCUCUAGAUUUUUCAGAUUACUGCCUUUUGCUGAUUUGGUUUAGAAUCCUGGUAUUGUUUGGAUGGUCAAUGAGCAACAUUUCUUGUUCUUUCACUGUAUGCAUACUGAAAGAUUGUUUGUAAGUGACUUAUUUUAGAAUUUCCCUUCUGUGUAUGUGCGAACAAGCAGUGCACUUGAUGCGCCUCAUUGAACAACAUCCUAGACAACUUGCAAACAAGCGAACUUUUCGCAUACAACUUGCAGUCUGUUGCUCAUGCAGUCACAGUAGCUUGUUUAUUUGGGAUGCAUUUUAACUUCCGAACUAAAUUCCUAAUUGCUAGUCGAGGGGAUUGCUAUCUUGAAGAGUGGUGGACUUAUUCAACUGU